rnacentral:rRNA from 1 species
GGGUUGUGAGGUUAAGCGACUAAGCGUACACGGUGGAUGCCCUGGCAGUCAGAGGCGAUGAAGGACGUGCUAAUCUGCGAUAAGCGCCGGUAAGGUGAUAUGAACCGUUAUAACCGGCGAUUUCCGAAUGGGGAAACCCAGUGUGAUUCGUCACACUAUCAUUAACUGAAUCCAUAGGUUAAUGAGGCGAACCGGGGGAACUGAAACAUCUAAGUACCCCGAGGAAAAGAAAUCAACCGAGAUUCCCCCAGUAGCGGCGAGCGAACGGGGAGGAGCCCAGAGCCUGAAUCAGCAUGUGUGUUAGUGGAAGCGUCUGGAAAGGUGCGCGAUACAGGGUGACAGCCCCGUACACAAAAGCGCAUGUGCUGUGAGCUCGAUGAGUAGGGCGGGACACGUGGUAUCCUGUCUGAAUAUGGGGGGACCAUCCUCCAAGGCUAAAUACUCCUGACUGACCGAUAGUGAACCAGUACCGUGAGGGAAAGGCGAAAAGAACCCCGGCGAGGGGAGUGAAAAAGAACCUGAAACCGUGUACGUACAAGCAGUGGGAGCACAGGUUUACCUGUGUGACUGCGUACCUUUUGUAUAAUGGGUCAGCGACUUAUAUUCUGUAGCAAGGUUAACCGUAU